UACGUAGGUGGCAAGCGUUAUCCGGAAUUACUGGGCGUAAAGCGCACGCAGGCGGUUCGUCAAGUUCGACGUGAAAGCUCCCGGCUUAACUGGGAGAGGUCGUUGAAAACUGGCGAGCUUGAGGCAAUGAGAGGGGUGUAGAAUUCCCGGUGUAGUGGUGGAAUGCGUAGAUAUCGGGAGGAAUACCAGUGGCGAAAGCGGCACCCUAGCGUUGUUCUGACGCUCAUGUGCGAAAGCGUGGGGAGCGAACGGG
rnacentral:rRNA from 1 species